rnacentral:rRNA from 1 species
GUCGAGCGAACGGACGAGAAGCUUGCUUCUCUGAUGUUAGCGGCGGACGGGUGAGUAACACGUGGAUAACCUACCUAUAAGACUGGGAUAACUUCGGGAAACCGGAGCUAAUACCGGAUAAUAUUUUGAACCGCAUGGUUCGAAAGUGAAAGACGGUCUUGCUGUCACUUAUAGAUGGAUCCGCGCUGCAUUAGCUAGUUGGUAAGGUAACGGCUUACCAAGGCAACGAUGCAUAGCCGACCUGAGAGGGUGAUCGGCCACACUGGAACUGAGACACGGUCCAGACUCCUACGGGAGGCAGCAGUAGGGAAUCUUCCGCAAUGGGCGAAAGCCUGACGGAGCAACGCCGCGUGAGUGAUGAAGGUCUUCGGAUCGUAAAACUCCUGUUAUUAGGGAAGUAACAUAUGUGUAAGUAACUGUGCGCAUCUUGACGGUACCUAAUCAGAAAGCCACGGCUGACUACGUGCCAGCAGCCGCGGUAAUACGUAGGUGGCAAGCGUUAUCCGGAAUUAUUGGGCGUAAAGCGCGCGUAGGCGGUUUUUUAAGUCUGAUGUGAAAGCCCACGGCUCAACCGUGGAGGGUCAUUGGAAACUGGAAAACUUGAGUGCAGAAGAGGAAAGUGGAAUUCCAUGUGUAGCGGUGAAAUGCGCAGAGAUAUGGAGGUACACCAGUGGCGAAGGCGACUUUCUG